rnacentral:rRNA from 1 species
GCAGUCGAACGAUGAAGCCCAGCUUGCUGGGUGGAUUAGUGGCGAACGGGUGAGUAACACGUGAGUAACCUGCCCUUGACUCUAGGAUAAGCCCGGGAAACUGGGUCUAAUACUGGAUAGGAACGUCUACCGCAUGGUGGAUGUUGGAAAGAAUUUCGGUCAUGGAUGGACUCGCGGCCUAUCAGCUUGUUGGUGAGGUAAUGGCUCACCAAGGCGACGACGGGUAGCCGGCCUGAGAGGGUGACCGGCCACACUGGGACUGAGACACGGCCCAGACUCCUACGGGAGGCAGCAGUGGGGAAUAUUGCACAAUGGGCGAAAGCCUGAUGCAGCGACGCCGCGUGAGGGAUGACGGCCUUCGGGUUGUAAACCUCUUUCAGUAGGGAAGAAGCGAAAGUGACGGUACCUGCAGAAGAAGCACCGGCUAACUACGUGCCAGCAGCCGCGGUAAUACGUAGGGUGCGAGCGUUAUCCGGAAUUAUUGGGCGUAAAGAGCUCGUAGGCGGUUUGUCGCGUCUGUCGUGAAAGUCCGGGGCUUAACCCCGGAUCUGCGGUGGGUACGGGCAGACUAGAGUGCAGUAGGGGAGACUGGAAUUCCUGGUGUAGCGGUGGAAUGCGCAGAUAUCAGGAGGAACACCGAUGGCGAAGGCAGGUCUCUGGGCUGUAACUGACGCUGAGGAGCGAAAGCAUGGGGAGCGAACAGGAUUAGAUACCCUGGUAGUCCAUGCCGUAAACGUUGGGCACUAGGUGUGGGGAACAUUCCACGUUUUCCGCGCCGCAGCUAACGCAUUAAGU